rnacentral:rRNA from 1 species
GGCUAGAGUUUGAUCAUGGCUCAGGACGAACGCUGGCGGCGUGCUUAACACAUGCAAGUCGAACGGACCCCGGCAACGGGGUUAGUGGCGGACGGGUGAGUAACACGUGAGCAACCUGCCCUGUACAACGGGAUAACACAGAGAAAUUUGUGCUAAUACGGUAUAAGACCACACGGAGGCAUCUCUGAGGGGUAAAAGCUGAGGCGGUACAGGAGGGGCUCGCGGCCCAUUAGAUAGUUGGUGAGGUAACGGCCCACCAAGUCGACGAUGGGUAGCCGACCUGAGAGGGUGAUCGGCCACAUUGGAACUGAGAUACGGUCCAAACUCCUACGGGAGGCAGCAGUGGGGAAUAUUGGGCAAUGGAGGCAACUCUGACCCAGCAACGCCGCGUGAAUGAAGAAGGCCUUCGGGUUGUAAAGUUCUUUAAUGGGGAACGAAGAAAGUGACGGUACCCCAAGAAUAAGCCACGGCUAACUACGUGCCAGCAGCCGCGGUAAUACGUAGGUGGCAAGCGUUGUCCGGAAUGACUGGGCGUAAAGGGAGCGUAGGCGGCGCAACAAGUUAGGAGUGAAAUCCCGGGGCUUAACUCCGGAACUGCUUUUAAAACUGUUGUGCUUGAGUGAUGGAGAGGAAAGCGGAAUUCCUAGUGUAGCGGUGGAAUGCGUAGAUAUUAGGAGGAACACCAGAGGCGAAGGCGGCUUUCUGGACAUUAACUGACGCUGAAGCUCGAAAGCGUGGGGAGCAAACAGGAUUAGAUACCCUGGUAGUCCACGCCGUAAACGAUGGAUACUAGAUGCGGGAGGUAUCGACUCCUUCCGUGUCGUCGCAAACGCAGUAAGUAUCCCGCCUGGGGAGUACGGCCGCAGGUUUGAACUCAAGG